AAUCCGGAGAAUCUGAUGUGACUAGUAAAACAAGAUGAAGAAGCAUAAAGAUUUGAAAGUUGUUGGUAAAGACUCAAACUUGGAAAAUCAUUAUGAGUGGAUUCGGAAAAUGUUCAAAUUUUUGUGGAGAUCAUUGGUGAAAUUUGUGGUAAUUUGAAUACUUUUUUUCAAUCUGAUCUUACAAACGGCAUCGCACCGAGAGACAUGUACAGAGGCGCCUCUCUAUGGAGUUUAGAAGGUGUUUGAAGAACCGAAAUGGUUUAUGUAUUUAUUUGGGUAAUCAGUAUAUGAGCGGACUAGGACAAUGGAAGUAUCAGAAAAGGUGGUGUUGGUCUGUAUCUCUGUUAAUGCCUCAAUUAAACAAAGUGGCACCGACCGAUACAUGGGAACUCAUUAAAAAUCUCGUUGAACAGAACCAUGACAAGAUUCCAUUGACAGAUGAAGAUAAGGAAGAAGUAAGUUGUUGUGAUUGGAAACACUUCCAAGAUUGGAAGGAGAGAAAGAACCAAGGGGACCAAUUACAAAGCGGAAAUGGAAGAACAACUUUCAUGCUGGAGGGAGUACAUUACAGACGACAGGCAGUCAAGAUGAGGGGCCAUCCUCAAUAGCUCUGUCAAAAGGGUAACAAGUAAACAAAAUUUUGCUGACUUGAAUUCCAGUCUAGCUCAAUUUUAUACUAGUUCAUCCGCGAUUGAAUUUUUGAUACUAAAGUGCCUAUUUCUAUGACUCUCUAUUCUUCCUUCUGCCUUUGGAACUAACGCAUCUGGGUUCCUCUUAUGCUUGGUUUCUAACCCAUGGUAAUGAAUUGCUGAUUGUAAUCUUUCUGAUCAUCUAAAUUCUAAAACGUCUUUUUCUCUAGUAAUAUGUAGUUUGUAAUUGCAAGUAACAUGAGUUUUUGGAUUUUUUUUCAUGCAUGUAGUGAUUUUCUCUGUAGUUCUGGGUGUUUGGUUUUCUUUCAGAAAUCUUAAUCAGGACAAUAGUGAAGAUAACCUGUUAACAAUUCCCUAAUGUAAUAUGGCUUUAUACUGCUGAAGUACUGUUACCAGAUAUGCUGAAGAAUUAAUCCCCACUCUUAUUCCUUUUCGGACAAUGCCAUUGAGACUUACAUCAACCACAUGCUAACAUUUUUUUUGUUAUUCAAAACUCAAUUCUCAAAUUCAUUUUCAGUCAUACUUUUCAAAACUCAGCCACUCCUCUAUAUAGGAAGCUGCCCUUAUCCACUGGGCACAUGUCAACUAUAAAACCAUAGUGAACCCUAAAGGCCUAACCCUAGGUAUAAAAAGGAAAAGUUUGAGAGAAAGAGAGAGAGACAGAGUUAAGGAUGGAUAUAGAAGUUGCUGCUAAAGACUCGGAAGAACUGAAUGAAAUUGAAGAAUUCAUGUAUUGAUCUUGAUAAUUGGUAUAAGCGGACUCGGAAAAUAGAUGAAGAUCGUUGUCAACAUAGCUGGUGUGCAUCUUUUUUUAAGCCUCUAUGGGUACCAAACCCUCAGAGAGAAAGGCAAUCAGGCUUUUCGGAUUCCUUAUGCAAACUGUUUUCUACUUCCGUUUGAAACACCGAAAGAAUGAAGGUCUCACAGCUGAACAAUUGAUACUUCAUUUUGAGAUGGAGCAACAGAGUGACGUGCCAUCCACCGAACCAAGACUCGAAUCAGCAUAGAGGUUCUAUUUCUUGUAUUUGAUGGUCUGACGGACACAUGUCGGGAUCUGGUGGAUCGAUAUCUUGCCAACCGAAAACAAUUCCAGGGUGAAGACGCAUAAUCCAUCAAUGUUGUUGUCAGCCUGAUAGGCUUUGCAAACUAUCAAGGAAGGUCAUGAUAUACCAGUUGAAAGAUUUCGUAACUGGAGAUACAAGUCACUUGCAACAUUGGUAAUUAUUUUUGUUUCUUUGAUUUUAAUUGAAUGUUAUAAGUAAUGUUAUUUAACUUUUGCCUUAUAUUCCCCAGAAGUCUUCUGUUUCGUAAGGGCAAUGAGAGGUGAACCCACUGAUCCUUAGGUGGUGUUUGAAUUGACACAUAAUUGUAAGUAGUCAUGAGUAGCAUUUUAUUGGUCUGAUUGGAAAUUGUCUAGUAUAUGGAGCUUUUUCAUACUAGGUUUUGAACGAAAUUGUCUUCAAGUAUGAAGCCUUUGUGUUGGCCGCUAUACAUGUUAUACUAGUUAUUCACUUUGCUAUGAUUCAAUAUUGUAGUUGUAGAUUCCAACUCAUGUCUCCAAGCAAAAGGCUUGUUACUAAACUGGCAGCUGAAGAUGUUAACUGUUCGGUUCGAUUUUGGAUGACAAUUCUAAUUAAGUUGUGGACGACACAAUGAUUCUUUGUCAUGUCCAAGAAACUAGCAAAUCGGUAAUUCAGACUAGAAAUCUAGAAUUGUGGGAUGACACAUUAUAGGUACUUAACUUUCACAUGGUUUAAUUUAGCAUGUCACCAGUUGUUCAACUCAAUUAUCCCAUUAAUAAGUUGAGACAUCUUGUAAGCGAUGCGAUGUCCUUUUCUCUAGUAAUAUGCAGUAUUUGAUCUCAA